rnacentral:rRNA from 1 species
AUUGAACGCUGGCGGCAGGCCUAACACAUGCAAGUCGAACGAGUGGCGGACGGGUGAGUAAUGUCUGGGAAACUGCCCGAUGGCGGGGGAUAACUACUGGAAACGGUAGCUAAUACCGCAUACCAUCGGAUGUGCCCAGAUGGGAUUAGCUAGUAGGUGGGGUAACGGCUCACCUAGGCGACGAUCCCUAGCUGGUCUGAGAGGUUGACCAGCCACACUGGAACUGAGACACGGUCCAGACUCCUACGGGAGGCAGCAGUGGGGAAUAUUGCACAAUGGGCGCAAGCCUGAUGCAGCCAUGCCGCGUGUGUGAAGAAGGCCUUCGGGUUGUAAAGUACUUUCGGCGGGGAAGCGUUACUCGCAGAAGAAGCACCGGCUAACUCCGUGCCAGCCGCCGGCGUAAUAC